rnacentral:tRNA from 1 species
UGGGGUAUAACUCAGUGAUACAGUAUGUGCUUAGUAUGCAGGAUGCCCUGGGUUCAAUCUCCAGUACCACAC